rnacentral:tRNA from 1 species
GAAGAGGUGGCUGAGUGGAUUAAAGCGAUAGACUGUAAAUCUAUUAUGUAUAACCGAAGGUUCGAAUCCUUCCUUCUUCA